rnacentral:rRNA from 1 species
CGUGGCGGCGUGCCUAACACAUGCAAGUCGUACGAGAAGUUGGCUCGGCCGAUGAGUAAAGUGGCGCACGGGUGAGUAAUGCGUGGAUAAUCUGCCCUUUAGUUGGGAAUAACGUACCGAAAGGUGCGCUAAUACCUGAUAAUACUGCAUAACUACUGUUGUGUAGUCAAAGAAGGCCUCUGUUUACAAGCUUUUGCUGAAGGAUGAGUCCGCGUACCAUUAGCUGGUUGGUGGGGUAAUGGCCUACCAAGGCUACGAUGGUUAGCUGGUCUGAGAGGAUGAUCAGCCACACUGGAACUGAGACACGGUCCAGACUCCUACGGGAGGCAGCAGUGAGGAAUAUUGCGCAAUGGGGGCAACCCUGACGCAGCAACGCCGCGUGAGUGAGGAAGGUUUUCGGACCGUAAAGCUCUGUCGAGCGGGAAGAAAUGUAUCAUGGCUAAUAUCCAUGAUACUUGACGGUACCGCUAAAGGAAGCACCGGCUAACUCCGUG